CCUACGGGUGGCAGCAGUCGAGAAUCAUUCACAAUGGGGGAAACCCUGAUGGUGCGGCGCCGCGUGGGGGAAUGAAGGUCUUCGGAUUGUAAACCCCUGUCAUGUGGGAGCAAAUUAAAAAGAUAGUACCACAAGAGGAAGAGACGGCUAACUCUGUGCCAGCAGCCGCGGUAAUACAGAGGUCUCAAGCGUUGUUCGGAAUCACUGGGCGUAAGGCGUGCGUAGGCUGUUUCGUAAGUCGUGUGUGAAAGGCGCGGGCUCAACCCGCGGACGGCACAUGAUACUGCGAGACUAGAGUAAUGGAGGGGGAACCGGAAUUCUCGGUGUAGCAGUGAAAUGCGUAGAUAUCGAGAGGAACACUCGUGGCGAAGGCGGGUUCCUGGACAUUAACUGACGCUGAGGCACGAAGGCCAGGGGAGCGAAAGGGAUUAGAUACCCCGGUAGUC
rnacentral:rRNA from 1 species